rnacentral:rRNA from 1 species
CAAUAGCGUAUAUUAAAGUUGUUGCGGUUAAAAAGCUCGUAGUUGGAUUUCUGCUGAGGACGAUCGGUCCGCCCACUGGGUGAGUAUCUGGCUCGGCCUUGGCAUCUUCUUGGAGAACGUUGCUGCACUUGACUGUGUGGUGCGGUAUCCAGGACUUUUACUUUGAGGAAAUUAGAGUGUUUCAAGCAGGCGCACGCCUUGAAUACAUUAGCAUGGAAUAAUAAGAUAGGACCUUGGUUCUAUUUUGUUGGUUUCUAGAGCUGAGGUAAUGAUUAAUAGGGAUAGUUGGGGGCAUUCGUAUUUAACUGUCAGAGGUGAAAUUCUUGGAUUUGUUAAAGACGGACUAUUGCGAAAGCAUUUGCCAAGGAUGUUUUCAUUGA